AUACGUAGGGGGCGAGCGUUGUCCGGAAUGAUGGGGCGUAAAGGGCGCGUAGGCGGCCCGGUAAGUCUGGAGUGAAAGUCCUGUUUUUAAGAUGGGAAUUGCUUUGGAUACUGUCGGGCUUGAGUGCAGGAGAGGUAAGUGGAAUUCCCAGUGUAGCGGUGAAAUGCGUAGAGAUUGGGAGGAACACCAGUGGCGAAGGCGACUUACUGGACUGUAACUGACGCUGAGGCGCGAAAGUGUGGGGAGCAAACAGGAUUAGAUACCCUGGUAGUCCACACUGUAAACGAUGAAUGCUAGGUGUAGGGGGUAUCGACCCCUUCUGUGCCGCAGUCAACACAAUAAGCAUUCCGCCUGGGGAGUACGGCCGCAAGGUUGAAACUCAAAUGAAUUGACGGG
rnacentral:rRNA from 1 species